rnacentral:antisense_RNA from 1 species
GACCUGGGCAACCCCAUCCUGGAGGUGCCGGGGUCGGAGCUCCCAGAGGGCUGGGUGCGAGGCCUAGGCGGGGUCAGGUUCGGGUUCCUAGGCCAUAGCGGAGCUGCAGCCCAGGCGGCCGGAGCGGAACCCAGCCCCGCUCCGAGUGCCACGUCUCCAGGAACCCCCUCCUUACUCUUGGACAACACUCCGCCCCCGCCCGGGCCUCCGUCCCCCAAACCGCCCUCAUUUGUGCAGCGCCAGAUCCUUCGGACACAUCCCUAGGUGUCUCCAUCCUCGUUCGGUCCAUCCAACUCCCAGACCUCACGUCAACCGGCUGCAUCCCACUUUCCAGCCUGCGCCCCAGAUCUGCAGCCUUCGCCCCUAGAUACACCCGCCUGGUGAUGAGGCGCUCCUCGCGUUCCUUCCGGGCUCCCGGUGUCGUCCGUGAGCCUCCCUUCCGCCCUGGCCUCCGGUCUCUGCCUUGCUCGUGCUUCUACCACCACCCUUCCCCUCCCAACCCGGUGGAUCCUCUCGUCUCCCCCAGUCUCCAGUGCACCGGCUUUCCCUCGUCCUCUGCGCAGUCCAUCUCAGCUCAUCUCUCCAAUUCAAUGCCAUCAUCUCUCCUCACCAUCUCUCGGUGCCCUGGAAUGUUUGCUGUCAUAUGUCCCCUGUGAAACCCACAAACGCUUGCGAUUUGGCCUUCUUGUUUUAUUUUGUGUAGUCCUACAACGUCUUGUUACUACCCCCUAUUACAACACUUAUAACUCAG